rnacentral:rRNA from 1 species
UACGUAGGGGGCUAGCGUUGUCCGGAUUUAUUGGGCGUAAAGAGCGUGUAGGCGGCCAGGUAGGUCUGGUGUGAAAACUCGAGGCUUAACCUCGAGAUGUCAUCGGAAACCAUUUGGCUAGAGUCCGGAAGAGGAGAGUGGAAUUCCUGGUGUAGCGGUGAAAUGCGCAGAUAUCAGGAAGAACACCCGUGGCGAAGGCGGCUCUCUGGGACGGUACUGACGCUGAGACGCGAAAGCGUGGGGAGCGAACAGG